GAUUUCUGGCUUGAAACAUUAAGCCGGCCACGGUUUCGUGUGUCAGUGUUUGAUGUUCUGGCCAUCCUUCCAAUUGCUACUGGCUAUUCUUCAUUGAAUGGUCAGUGGUAUUGGAUCUUUUACUUUGAAAAAAUUAGAGUGUUUAAAGCAGGCUUUAUGCUAUGAAUACAUUAGCAUGGAAUAAUAAUUUAGGACUUCGGUUCUAUUUUGUUGGUUUCUAGGACUGAAGUAAUGAUUGAUAGGGAUAGUUGGGGGUGCUAGUAUUCAGCGGCCAGAGGUGAAAUUCUCGGAUUCGCUGAAGACUAACUUAUGCGAAAGCAUU
rnacentral:rRNA from 1 species